CAGAGGGGGCAAGCGUUGUUCGGAAUUACUGGGCGUAAAGGGCGCGUAGGCGGCCUGCUAAGUCGAACGUGAAAUCCCUGGGCUCAACCCAGGAACUGCGUCCGAUACUGGUUGGCUUGAAUCCGGGAGAGGGAUGUGGAAUUCCAGGUGUAGCGGUGAAAUGCGUAGAUAUCUGGAGGAACACCGGUGGCGAAGGCGACAUCCUGGACCGGUAUUGACGCUGAGGCGCGAAAGCCAGGGGAGCAAACGGGAUUAGAUACCCCGGUAGUCCUGGCCCUAAACGAUGAAUGCUUGGUGUGGUGGGUAUCGAUCCCUACCGUGCCGAAGCUAACGCAUUAAGCAUUCCGCCUGGGGAGUACGGUCGCAAGGCUG
rnacentral:rRNA from 1 species